UAACUAACCAAUCGCUGACAAUCUGCAGUGUGACCUUUCUAGACUAGCCAGUGCAAAACAGUAGUGUGGCUACGCAGGUUACAUUAGCCUAAGCUAUGUGAUCAUAUGUCCAAGAUAGGAUUUACAUUAAGUGUAUUUCCAGUGUAUAUUUAACAGCAGUGUAACGGUACACAGAACUCAUGGUUCGGUACAAACCUCAGUUUUGGGUUCACAGUUUGGUGCAAUUUCAGUGCAGCAAUUUCAUUUUCACAGAAGCCCCAGCAGGAGUCAUCAGGUCUGGAUCAGUACAAAAAUGGAGGGAGCUGCUUCUGAAAUGACCCCCCCUGUGGAGUGUAAAACAAAGCAAACUGAGAGUGUCCUGAUGGAGAGAGCAGGCUCACCUGUACCCAGCUGUGUUUCCAUGAAGAGUGACAGGUCAGUGGACCGACCAAUCACCUUCAGAGAGGGACCUUUUCCUACGGAUCAAAGAGGCUCCAGUAGGAGUGAUCUGGUCUGGAUCGGUACAAGAAUGGAGGAAGCUGCUUCUGAAAUGAGCCCCCCUGUGGAGUGUAAAACAAAGGGAAUUGUAAG